CGGGGCAUAGCGCAGUCUGGUAGCGCACCUGCUUUGGGAGCAGGGGGUCGCAGGUUCAAAUCCUGCUGCCCCGA
rnacentral:tRNA from 1 species